CCCUCACAUACAGGUCUAUAACUACCCCCUCACAUACAGGUCUAUAACUACCCCCCUCACAUACAGGUCUAUAACUACCCCCUCACAUACAGAUCUAUAACUACCCCCUCACAUACAGGUCUAUAACUACCCCCUCACAUACAGGUCUAUAACUACCCCCUCACAUACAGGUCUAUAACUACCCCCUCACAUACAGGUCUAUAACUACCCCCUCACAUACAGGUCUAUAACUACCCCCUCACAUACAGGUCUAUAACUACCCCCUCACAUACAGGUCUAUAACUACCCCCUCACAUACAGA